UACAGGGAGAAGCAGCAGUUUCCCCAGCACCUGGUGACAUCAUAAGGAACCCUCCAAGUGUUUCCUGGAAGCAACAAACCCAGUUAUCAUCAACCGACGUGGGGGAAAUAAGAUUUAAGGAGCAUCUCUAAAUGUGGCCGAGGGGGCGACAUCCACCGUGCCUUUGGCUCCGGAUGAUCACAGGAUGAAGAAGGAUCCUUCAUCUUCUUCAUCCCGUUGUUUCUCCAGAGAGGGACGAGACUGGAGACGGGCUGUUUU